AGCGAACGCUGGCGGCAGGCUUAACACAUGCAAGUCGAGCGCCCGGAGCAAUCCGGGAGCGGCAGACGGGAGAGUAACACGUGGGAACGUACCCUUUGGUUCGGAAUAAUCCAGGGAAACUUAGGACUAAUACCGGAUAAGCCCUUACGGGGAAAGGAUUUAUCGCCAAAGGAUCGGCCCGCGUCUGAUUAGCUAGUUGGUGAGGUAACGGCUCACCAAGGCGACGAUCAGUAGCUGGUCUGAGAGGA
rnacentral:rRNA from 1 species